ACAAAGUUUUGGUCCUAAACUUGCCGUUGUUUUUAAUCAGGAUUAUACAUGCAAGCCUCCACAAACCAGUGAGAAUGCCCACAAACCCUUAACAGAAAACCGGAGCAGGUAUCAGGUCCAACCAAACGUUAGCCAACAACACCUUGCUACGCCACACCCACACGGGUACUCAGCAGUAAUUAACAUUAAAACAUGAGCGAAAGCUCGAUUUGGCCAUGAUUCAUCAAAGUUGGUAAAUUUCGUGCCAGCCACCGCGGUUACACGAAAAGCUUAAAACAACGACUAUCGGCGUAAAAUGUGACAAGAGAAAGAUUUUUUUAAACUUAAAGAAAAACCACCAAAAAGCCGUAAAACGCUACUAUGAGUGGGAACCACAACAAAAACCAGUCUUUAAACAUAAAAAUCACUUUCCCUCACGAAAGCUAAGAAACAAACUGGGAUUAGAUACCCCACUAUGCUUAGCCAUAAACAAAGACAAUACACACACAAUAUUGUCCGCCAGAGAACUACAAGCGAAAAACUCGAAACUCCAAGGACUUGGCGGUGCUUCACACCAACCUAGAGGAGCCUGUCCUAUAAUCGAUACCCCACGACAAACCUUACCAUCUUUUGCCACUCAGCCUAUAUACCGCCGUCGCCAGCCUACCUUAUGAAAGAAAAACAGUAAGCAAAAUCGUUAACAACAAACACGUCAGGUCAAGGUGUAGCACAUAAGGUGGAAGAGAUGGGCUACAUUUUCUACAACAGAAAAAACGAACGGCACAAUGAAAUACGACCCUGAAGGUGGAUUUAGUAGUAAGAUAAUCAAGAAAAAUUAUCUUAAACCCGCUCUGAAGCGCGCACACACCGC
rnacentral:ncRNA from 1 species